AGAGUUUGAUCAUGGCUCAGAACGAACGCUGGCGGCAGGCUUAACACAUGCAAGUCGAACGGAUCCUUCGGGAUCAGUGGCGGACGGGUGAGUAACGCGUGGGAACCUACCCUGGGGUGGGGAAUAACCUUGGGAAACCGAGGCUAAUACCGCAUACGCCCUAUUGGGGAAAGACUAUGUUGCCCUGGGAUGGGCCCGCGUCCGAUUAGCUAGUUGGUGGGGUAAUGGCCUACCAAGGCUGCGAUCGGUAGCUGGUCUGAGAGGAUGAUCAGCCACACUGGGACUGAGACACGGCCCAGACUCCUACGGGAGGCAGCAGGUGGGGAAUAUUGGACAAUGGGGGCAACCCUGAUCCAGCCAUGCCGCGUGAGUGAAGAAGGCCUUAGGGUUGUAAAGCUCUUUCACCCGUGACGAUGAUGACGGUAGCGGGAGAAGAAGCCCCGGCUAAUUCCGUG
rnacentral:rRNA from 1 species